rnacentral:rRNA from 1 species
GGGAAACUGAGGAUAAUACCGGAUAGGCAAUUAUUCCUGGAAUGGUUUUUUGUUUAAAUGUUUUUUCGCCUAAGGAUGGGUCUGCGGCCGAUUAGGUAGUUGGUUAGGUAACGGCUUACCAAGCCAUUGAUCGGUACGGGUUGUGAGAGCAAGAGCCCGGAGAUGGAACCUGAGACAAGGUUCCAGGCCCUACGGGGUGCAGCAGGCGCGAAACCUCCGCAAUGUGAGAAAUCGCGACGGGGGGAUCCCAAGUGCCAUUCUUAACGGGAUGGCUUUUCAUUAGUGUAAAGAGCUUUUGGAAUAAGGGCUGGGCAAGACCGGUGCCAGCCGCCGCGGUAACACCGGCAGCUCUAGUGGUAGCAGUUUUUAUUGGGCCUAAAGCGUCCGUAGCCGGUUUAAUAAGUCUCUGGUGAAAUCCUGUAGCUUAACUGUGGGAAUUGCUGGAGAUACUAUUAGACUUGAGACCGGGAGAGGUUAGAGGUACUCCCAGGGUAGAGGUGAAAUUCUGUAAUCCUGGGAGGACCGCCUGUUGCGAAGGCGUCUAACUGGAACGGUUCUGACGGUGAGGGACGAAAGUUAGGGGCGCGAACCGGAUUAGAUACCCGGGUAGUCCUAACCGUAAACGAUGCGGACUUGGUGUUGGGGUGGCUUUGAGCUGCUCCAGUGCCGAAGGGAAGCUGUUAAGUCCGCCGCCUGGGAAGUACGGUCGCAAGACUGAAACUUA